UUGAGUAAGAGGUGCAACACACUUUC
rnacentral:piRNA from 1 species